CACCCCGUUUUGUCUUCUCCCACCCCCCUCCAUAAACUUUAUACAGCGUUGUUCUGAUGUACGGGUACCUGUAGCUCAAAUGGCAAUCGGGGUAAACAAGGGACAGGGGGCAGGGACUGAGCCAUUGUUUCCUUGGCAGCCUCGAACGCCUGUUGUUCUGGAUACCACGGAAAAGUUGCUUCCCCACCCCCAGUUACUUUGUGUAGGGGUCGCAGGCAGCAGGACCGUUAGGUGUGGUAUGUGCCGCCUCCAGUAGCCUAAUUGCCCCGCAAACCUUUGGGUCUCUUGCUUAUUUGUGGAGGUAGCCAUUUCAGCCAUUUUAUUUCGGUUCUUUUUUCCCGGAUCACUUAAGGUCCCGAGACACACUGCAUGCCCAGGACUUCCUGACUCGGUCCCCUGUAUUUUCUAUGGAUCCAUUCCUUAUGCGGCUUACCAGCACGUCCAGGACUCCAGCUAUUCCCUCCUCAGUGGGUUCUCGGAGCAGGAGGGCUGUCUGUAUAAUCAGGUGACAGCUUACUGGGGAUGCAUCGAGAUCUCGAGCUUUCAGACCAUGGCACAAGAUUUAACAUCAAAUACUGAUGUUCACAAACCUUUUAAGAAUAUAAGGAUCAAAGGGAAAGAAGCAAUCCAGCGGAUUAGUGCAAACCUGCACCAAGUCACCUCCAACACCACUCCUGACAAUUGGAUUAUUUGGAUUCUGAAGCAUCUUCCAAAGAUGUUCCAGGAAAGCCUCUGCCAGUCCCUGAAAAAUUGCAACAAGGAUGAUGCAAGCAGUAUGGGUGAUCGUUAUAUAACUGUACACUCUCAAGAAGAUAGUAUCUGUUGCUAAGGACUGUCACCAUCUGGGACCUGCCCUCCACUCGUUACUGCCAGCAGGGAAAAGAUACAGGAGCCUGAAGGUGCACAAUCAAUGAUUAAGAAGCAACUUCUCUUCCUCUGCCAUCAGAUUUUAGUAUGGUCCAUGAACACUACUUGGCUUUUCAUUUUUUGCACCAUUUAUUUUGUUUUUUUUUAAAAUUUUGAUGCUUUCAUUACUGUACUGCUGCCAGAAAACAAAUUUCAUGUUAUAUAGGAAUGACAAUAAGUAUGACUCCGAUAUCUGUAUUUAUCCAUUAGUCAUUAAAAAACAAUGAGGGAUGGGGUCUAUGUAAAAUUCUGCAAUAUCUCUUCAUUUACUCUUGAUUUUCAAACCCUAAAAUCAAUUCAUGAAUUAUUUGGC